rnacentral:rRNA from 1 species
GAUGAACGCUGGCGGCGUGCCUAAUACAUGCAAGUCGAGCGAACAGACGAGGAGCUUGCUCCUCUGACGUUAGCGGCGGACGGGUGAGUAACACGUGGAUAACCUACCUAUAAGACUGGGAUAACUUCGGGAAACCGGAGCUAAUACCGGAUAAUAUAUUGAACCGCAUGGUUCAAUAGUGAAAGACGGUUUUGCUGUCACUUAUAGAUGGAUCCGCGCCGCAUUAGCUAGUUGGUAAGGUAACGGCUUACCAAGGCAACGAUGCGUAGCCGACCUGAGCGGGUGAUCGGCCACACUGGAACUGAGACACGGUCCAGACUCCUACGGGAGGCAGCAGUAGGGAAUCUUCCGCAAAGGGCGAAAGCCUGACGGAGCAACGCCGCGUGAGUGAUGAAGGUCUUCGGAUCGUAAAACUCUGUUAUUAGGGAAGAACAAAUGUGUAAGUAACUAUGCACGUCUUGACGGUACCUAAUCAGAAAGCCACGGCUAACUACGUG